rnacentral:rRNA from 1 species
AACGAACGCUGGCGGCAGGCUUAACACAUGCAAGUCGAACGCACCGCAAGGUGAGUGGCAGACGGGUGAGUAACACGUGGGGAUCUGCCCAAUGGUACGGAAUAGCUCCGGGAAACUGGAAUUAAUACCGUAUGUGCCCUUCGGGGGAAAGAUUUAUCGCCAUUGGAUGAACCCGCGUCGGAUUAGCUAGUUGGUGAGGUAAAGGCUCACCAAGGCGACGAGCCGUAGCUGGUCUGAGAGGAUGAUCAGCCACACUGGGACUGAGACACGGCCCAGACUCCUACGGGAGGCAGCAGUGGGGAAUAUUGGACAAUGGGCGCAAGCCUGAUCCAGCCAUGCCGCGUGAGUGAUGAAGGCCUUAGGGUUGUAAAGCUCUUUCGCCGACGAAGAUAAUGACGGUAGUCGGAGAAGAAGCCCCGGCUAACUACGUGCCAGCCGCCGCCGUAAUAC